rnacentral:rRNA from 1 species
UACGUAGGUGGCAAGCGUUGUCCGGAUUUACUGGGCGUAAAGCGCGCGUAGGCGGUUAAUUAAGUCUGUGGUGAAAGGUUCAGCGCUCAACGCGAACAUUGCCCUGGAUACUGGUUGACUUGAGUCUGGGAGGGGGUAGUGGAAUUCCUGGUGUAGCGGUGAAAUGCGUAGAUAUCAGGAGGAACACCGGUGGCGAAGGCGGAUCUCUGGGCCUGAUCUGACGCUGAGGCGCGAAAGCUAGGGGAGCGAACAGG